GACGAACGCUGGCGGCGUGCUUAACACAUGCAAGUGGAGCGACGAACCGGGGCUUGCCCCGGGGCAGAGCCGCGAACGGGUGAGUAACACGUGGGUAACCCACCCCGAUGACCGGGACAACCCGAGGAAACUCGGGCUAAUACCGGAUGUGCUCCUUGACCUCGAGGUCAAGGCGUAAAGAUAGCUUCGGCCUUCGCAUCGGGACGGGGCCCGCGGCCCAUUAGCUUGUUGGGUGGGGUAAAGGCCUACCAAGGCGACGANGGGUAGCUGGUCUGAGAGGACGAUCAGCCACACUGGGACUGAGACACGGCCCAGACUCCUACGGGAGGCAGCAGUGGGGAAUCUUGCGCAAUGCGCGAAAGCGUGACGCAGCAAC
rnacentral:rRNA from 1 species